rnacentral:rRNA from 1 species
UACGUAGGGGGCUAGCGUUGUCCGGAUUUAUUGGGCGUAAAGAGCGUGUAGGCGGCCAGGUAGGUCUGCUGUGAAAACUCGAGGCUUAACCUCGAGAUGUCGGCGGAAACCAUCUGGCUAGAGUCCGGAAGAGGAGAGUGGAAUUCCGUGGUGUAGCGGUGAAAUGCGCAGAUAUCAGGAAGAACACCCGUGGCGAAGGCGGCUCUCUGGGCCACUACUGACGCUGAGAAGCGAAAGCAUGGGGAGCGAACAGG